rnacentral:rRNA from 1 species
ACCAUCCUCCAAGGCUAAAUACUCCUGAUUGACCGAUAGUGAACCAGUACUGUGAAGGAAAGGCGAAAAGAACCCCAGUGAGGGGAGUGAAAUAGAACCUGAAACCGUGUACGUACAAGCAGUGGGAGCAGAUUUAUUCGUGUGACUGCGUACCUUUUGUAUAAUGGGUCAGCGACUUAUAUUUUGUAGCAAGGUUAACUGAAUAAGGGAGCCGAAGGGAAACCGAGUCUUAACUGGGCGAAGAGUUGCAAGGUAUAGACCCGAAACCCGGUGAUCUAGCCAUGAGCAGGUUGAAGAUUGGGUAACACUAAUUGGAGGACCGAACCGACUAAUGUUGAAAAAUUAGCGGAUGACUUGUGGCUGGGGGUGAAAGGCCAAUCAAACCGGGAGAUAGCUGGUUCUCCCCGAAAUCUAUUUAGGUAGAGCCUUGAGCGGACACCUUCGGGGGUAGAGCACUGUUUCGGCUAGGGGUCCAUCCCGGAUUACCAACCCGAUGCAAACUGCGAAUACCGAAGAGUGAUACUCAGGAGACACACGGUGGGUGCUAACGUCCAUCGUGGAGAGGGAAACAACCCAGACCGCCAGCUAAGGUCCCAAAGUCUAUAUUAAGUGGGAAACGAAGUGGGAAGGCUUAGACAGCUAGGAUGUUGGCUUAGAAGCAGCCACCAUUUAAAGAAAGCGUAAUAGCUCACUAGUCGAGUCGGCCUGCGCGGAAGAUGUAACGGGGCUAAAAUAUAGCACCGAAGCUGCGGCAUCAAUGGAAACAUUGUUGGGUAGGGGAGCGUUCUGUAAGCGGAAGAAGGUGCAUUGAGAAGUGUGCUGGACGUAUCAGAAGUGCGAAUGCUGACAUAAGUAACGAUAAAACGAGUGAAAAACUCGUUCGCCGGAAGACCAAGGGUUCCUGUCCAACGUUAAUCGGGGCAGGGUGAGUCGGCCCCUAAGGCGAGGCUGAAAAGCGUAGUCGAUGGGAAACGGGUUAAUAUUCCCGUACUUGGAUAAAUUGCGAUGUGGGGACGGAGAAGGUUAGGUUAGCAGCCUGUUGGAUGGCUGUUUAAGGCGGUAGGUGGAGUGCUUAGGCAAAUCCGGGCACUCUUAACACCGAGAACUGAUGACGAGGUGCUAAGGCACUGAAGUAACUGAUACCACGCUUCCAGGAAAAGCCACUAAGCUUCAGAUUUAUCUAAACCGUACUAUAAACCGACACAGGUGGUCAGGUAGAGAAUACUCAGGCGCUUGAGAGAACUCGGGUGAAGGAACUAGGCAAAAUAGCACCGUAACUUCGGGAGAAGGUGCGCCGGCGUAGAUUGUAGAGAUUUACUCUCGAAGGUUGAACCGGUCGAAGAUACCAGCUGGCUGCAACUGUUUAUUAAAAACACAGCACUCUGCAAACACGAAAGUGGACGUAUAGGGUGUGAUGCCUGCCCGGUGCUGGAAGGUUAAUUGAUGGUGUUAUCGAAAGAGAAGCUCCUGAUCGAAGCCCCAGUAAACGGCGGCCGUAACAAUAACGGUCCUAAGGUAGCGAAAUUCCUUGUCGGGUAAGUUCCGA